rnacentral:rRNA from 1 species
GAUGAACGCUGGCGGCGUGCCUAAUACAUGCAAGUCGAGCGAACAGACGAGGAGCUUGCUCCUCUGACGUUAGCGGCGGACGGGUGAGUAACACGUGUAUAACCUACCUAUAAGACUGGGAUAACUUCGGGAAACCGGCGCUAAUACCGGAUAAUAUAUUGAACCGCAUGGUUCAAUAGUGAAAUACGGUUUUGCUGUCACUUAUCGAUGGAUCCGCGCCGCAUUAGCUAGUUGGUAAGGUCACGGCUUACCAAGGCGACGAUGCGUGGCCGACGGGAGAGGGGGAUCGGCCACACGGGAACUGAGACACGGUCCAGACUCCUACGGGAGGCAGCAGUAGGGAAUCUUCCGCAAUGGGCGAAAGCCUGACGGAGCAGCGCGGCGUGAGUGAUGAAGGUCUUCGGAUCGUAAAGCUCUGUUAUUAGGGAAGAACAAAUGUGUAAGUAACUAUGCACGUCUUGACGGUACCUAAUCAGAAAGCCACGGCUAACUACGUG